rnacentral:rRNA from 1 species
UGCCAGCCGCCGCGGUAAGACAGAGGGUGCUAACGUUGUUCGGAAUUACUGGGCGUAAAGCGCGUGUAGGCUGUGGCGCAAGUCGGGCGUGAAAGCCCUGGGCUCAACCCAGGAAGUGCACCCGAAACUGCGUGACUUGAGUCUCGGAGAGGGAAGCGGAAUUCUGGGUGUAGAGGUGAAAUUCGUAGAUAUCCAGAGGAACACCAGCGGCGAAGGCGGCUUCCUGGACGAUGACUGACGCUGAGACGCGAAAGCGUGGGGAGCAAACAGGAUUAGAUA